rnacentral:rRNA from 1 species
AUUGAACGCUGGCGGCAGGCCUAACACAUGCAAGUCGAACGAGUGGCGGACGGGUGAGUAAUGUCUGCGAAACUGCCUGAUGGAGGGGGAUAAUUACUGGAAACUGUAGCUAAUACCGCAUACACCCGGAUGUGCCCCGAUGGGAUUUGCUAGUGGGUGGGGUAAAGGCUCACCUAGGCGACGAUCCCUAGCUGGUCAGCGAGGAUUACCAGGCAGACUGGAACGGAGACACGGCCCAGAAUCGUACGGGAGGCAGCAGUGGGGAAUAUUGGACAAAGGGCUGAAGCCUGAUGCAGCAUUGGCGCGUGUAUGAAGAAGGCCGUCGGGGUGUAAAGUGCUUGCAGCGGGGAGGCGUUACCCGCAGAAGAAGCACCGGCUAACUCCGUGCCAGCAGCCGCGGUAAUUC